CUGCUGGGGACAGAUGAAGUGAAUGUGCGCAUCGAUGCCGCCCGCCGUUAGGAUCUGCCCCUCUCCCGCAAUUGCUUCGGUGGCAGGGCCGAUUACGAUAUCUACUCCCGGUUGCGUGUCCGGGUUUCCCGCCUUGCCGAUACCUACGAUCCGCCCAUCACGAAUCCCUACGUCGGCCUUUACGAUUCCCCAGUGGUCGAUGAUCAGCGCGUUGGUUAUUACCGUAUCCACGGUCUCGUCUGUCGGUCGUUGCGACUGACCCAUGCCAUCCCG
rnacentral:sRNA from 1 species